GCUGUAAGCACAGAUACAGCCACGCAUAGCUGUGAGAUGUGAGGAGUGCAGACAGAUUAAAGGGUGUCCUGUCCUCCGUACUGUCCAGAAUUGGUGUUUGUUUUGAGAAAACAGCAGAGCAACAGUGAAAAGAGUUCCCAGAGACACAAAUAUGUCCUAACCUGGGAAUGCUGAGACAGGGCUGGAGAAAUCCCAGCUCACAGUGUGAUAAUGCUGUGUCAGGGAGGGUUUCUAACAACAGAUUUUUUUUCCCAGCAAGUUUCAGUUACUUACCACAAGCUACACUUGCAAGAAGUUAAUCCUCUACUCAUAGGAGGGAAGUCAAUGUUUACCAGCCCUGUAGCUAAUGAUAUGCUGGAAGGGCUCAGAAUGUUUUUACUCAGCACAGAAGAGCACAGUGGCGCAGUAGAGACCUAGAAGUCAGACAGCAAACUUUGCUUUAGAUAUGCAGCCAGCUCCAAGGGAGAGAUUCUUUGGAUGUUCAUUCAGGGUGCUACUGCUUGCUCUUCACUACCCUUUUAAAAGACUCAACCACAAAGUCAUCAUCUGGACUAGAGGAAGAAAAAAGUCAACAAUGGCUUCUAGAGGGGUUCCCUAGCAGGGAUUAGGAGGCUGGCUGGAAAGAGUGACAGCCAAGAGUGUCUGCAUGCUGGAGGUAGAAGUGGAAAAAGGUUACUGCCUACAUUAUAUCAAGAGCUGGGAAAGCAGGCUGAAUAAAUCAUCCCUGUGGAGAAUCAACUAAGAAGAUUAUGCUGCUGUAUGAAAAUCUGGGUAAUUAUAAUUUGCACAAUGUCUUAAGACAAAGAAUUAGAAGAGCAAGAUAAAGUUGUUAGGCUGAAUCACAGGAGACCUCUAAUAUGAUGUGGUUGGAAUUAGUGAACAGGACACACAACUAAAAGUAUCUUGAAUGUGUAUUUUCAUGUAACAAAUAUUGGCAGUGCAGCCUAUGUAACACAUUACUGUUGAUUUGCACUGUUCUUAGUAACACCCCUACAACCCCAAUGGCUUCAGUAACACUGCAGAUACUAUUUCGAAAACAUCAAACCCUUCAUCUUUUUGUUUAGCUUUUUCAAUUUAACAUAACCCUUCUUUUGUUCCAUGUCCUGAGGUUGUAAGUCUUUUCUUUUUUUUAGUGUACUAGUCCAACCUCACUGAGCAGAACUGAAAGCAGAGUUUGCCUCUAGGUAUUUUGUACACUUAGUCUCAUUUUCUGUGUUUCAUUUGUAGCUACCACUUACAGAUUUUCCUCGGUAUAAUGUUGGUUUAUUUCAAGUGAAAAUCUUACAGCUAAAAUCUAAAGGGAAAAUGUGCACAGAGGAUUCCUUUAUCAGGAACCACUGCUUGUCAAAAAUUAAACAAAAAGAAGUGAAAUGGAA